AACGAACGCUGGCGGCGCGCCUAAUACAUGCAAGUCGAGCGAGAAGACGUAGCAAUACGUUUGUAAAGCGGCGAACGGGUGAGGAAUACAUGGGUAACCUACCCUCGAGUGGGGAAGUAACUAGCCGAAAGGUUAGCUAAUACCGCGUACGCUCCUUGGACUUCGGUUCAGGGAGGGAAAGACGAUACCGUGGGUAGUCGCGCUCUUGGAUGGGCGUCAUGUCCUAUCAGCUUGUUGGUGAGGAACGGCUCACCAAGGCUUCGACGGGUAGCUGGUCUGAGAGGACGAUCAGCCACACUGGCACUGCGACACGGGCCAGACUCCUACGGGAGGCAGCAGUAAGGAAUAUUGCGCAAUGGGCGAAAGCCUGACGCAGCGACGCCGCGUGGGGGAGUGAA
rnacentral:rRNA from 1 species